CGCGCCCUACGGGGGGCAGCAGUGGGGAAUAUUGCGCAAUGGGCGAAAGCCUGACGCAGCGACGCCGCGUGAGGGAUGAAGGUGUUCGGAUCGUAAACCUCUGUCAGCAGGGAAGAACGGUCACUGUGCUAAUCAGCAGUGAAUUGACGGUACCUGCAAAGCAAGCACCGGCUAACUCCGUGCCAGCAGCCGCGGUAAUACGGAGGGUGCGAGCGUUAACCGGAAUUACUGGGCGUAAAGCGCUCGUAGGCGGUAU
rnacentral:rRNA from 1 species